rnacentral:tmRNA from 1 species
GCCCAUUGCAAACGCCUCCGGCGUCCCUAUAUUCGGGGUGCUCCGUAGGGGGCUAUGGACAUAAACGCGCUCGUAAUAAGCGGAUCGGACCCGGGGGCGGUACCCGGCGGCUCCACCAGACACCCGGUCGUUGGCGGGACAGGGGGCCGAAACAGGAUCGACGAACGUCUAAAGGGGUUUGCUUUGUCCCGGUGAGGUACCACCGUUAUCGGUCCGUAAAGCAUAAUUGCCAACGACAAUCAUGCUCCGGUCGCCGUUGCCGCGUAAGCGGUAACAGGACCGAAAACUGAAGCCCUUGCCUCUAGCCGGGCAAGGCGGGGUUCGCAGGCACCUGGCAACAGAAGCCUGCACU